rnacentral:lncRNA from 1 species
AUGCUUCUUCCAUGGUGGAGUCUUGGUUCCUUGGAUCCCCCAGCAACUCAGCCUCAGCCUAUUCAGAGCUGCUUCAGAAGUCCACGACACCGACAGCUUCAGGGCAUGCCCACGUGGACUAGGACGGAAAAUAGUCCAUCUCAACCACAGAGUAAAGUGCAGCCUACUCUUGCAAGUGUGGGGAGACUGAUCUUCCAGCUGGAUCACCCUUACUCCUCUUCAGGAUUGAAGGUAACAAGGGCCACGCGUCUGCUGGGGCUCCCUCCUUGGAAGGACCAUGUCUCCCUGGAGCCCAACAAGUGCCCACCCUCACAGCCCAGUCAAGAGAUGGGCUCCUCUUCUGGAAAAUGGACUUGACCCUGCUUUCUGUCCCAGCUUGUCAUUCAGUCAACCUCUGAACCUUUAUUAAUCUUCAUGAAGACAGGAUGGAGAGUGCCUUCCUAGAGCAUCUGUCCCUUGAAUUACGUCUGCAUCUAAACUGGAAGCCCCGUGAGUACUACAGCCUCUAUUUUCUGCACCUUUUUUUAUUGUCCAAAUCACCUUGUUCAACGUCAGUCUGGAUAAAUAUUUCUGGACUAGCUGAGUGCUUAUGCAAUUAAUCUCUCCAAGUAACCAGAUGAGGCAGCAGGUGAUGUGUCCAAUUAUUGGUAAGGACAGGAGAUAUUUAAAGAGCAAUGGGGGUGUUCAAGAACCUUCCUAUACAAUGCCCCACUUUGUCACUUGUUUGUUGGAGACAAGACUCAAGCCUCCAUCAACAUCACGGAUAUAAAGCUAGGCUGAGGGCAGAGGUUUUGACCUGCAAUUGUCAGCUAACUAAACUUAAGCAAAAGACUGACUAAGGAAAAGAUAUUUUAAAAUCCAUACUAUGUCUCCAUUCCUCUAGGAAAGUCUGGAAAGAUCUAUACUUCAUUUAGGGUAGGGUUUCUCAACUUCAAUACUAUUCACAUUUUGGGCCUGAUACUCCCUUGUUGUGGAGGGUUGUCCUGUGCACUGUAGGAAGUUUAAAAUACAGGAUUCCCAGUUAAACUUGAAUUCUAGAUAAACAACAAAAUAAUUUUUUUUAGUAUAGGUAUGUCCCAUGCAAUAUUAAUAGCAUCUCUUGCCUCUAUCCAUUAGAUGCCAGUAGCAUUACCUUCCCCCCAAGUUGUGACAACCAAAAAUAUCACCAGACAUUGCCAAAUGUCCCCUGGGGGGCAAAAUUGCCCCUGCUUAAGAACCACUGAUUCAGGGUAACACAUCAGAAGGCUACAAAUCUGAACCUCUUUAUCUUUGCUUUCAGAAGAAAUAGCUAUAUCUGGUAAAGUAUCAGCAAAAAAAUCAGCCACUGAGAAACUCUUCUGUACAUCUUACUUAAACCAUUUUGAAAACAUUAUUUAUUCUACUUUUUAAUGUCCCUUGGGAUCAAUUCCCUUUAGGUUUUCAUGCCAGGAAAAUUCUUGGCUCUCUUUCAGAAUUAGCAGGCUCAUUUCGACCAGAUAAUGUAAAUUAUGAAAACUGUCAUAUUUCCCUUUUUCUAUAACUGCUAGAAAGCUUAAAGAUAAACUUAAGGCUCAGUAGCAGAAACCAUCUAAGCUCAUGUGGUAGUAUUUUAUUUUUUAAACAAACAUCUACAUAGUGGCUUUCACAUGCCACAUAUAUUUUAAAUGCUUUAGCAAUAUUAAGUUCUUGAAUUCAAUCUAUCUCUGUAACAACCCUGUGGCUAAGUACGGUUAUUAUCCUUAUCCUCCCUUCUCAGGAGAAGAAACUGAGGUCUUUUUCUUUUUAAUUUCUACAAAUUAUUUCCUCUUUCAUCAUCAUCCUUAUUAUGAAGUAAGCCCCUUCAGAUUCUGCUGAGAAGUUGAUGGCACCUAAGUUAUUGUAUCACACACCUACACCGCUUCAGGUCCUUUCAGCUUCACCUGUCUCUUGCUCCAAGUGCCACCGUAACAACCAGCUCCAACUGCUUCUUCCAAGUGCACCCUCCCAGAGUCCAGCCUCAUGCCCAUGACACACACCUCCCACUCCCAUCCUGGGCUUCCCUGUUAACACCAAGAUGUGGGACACAAGGGACCUUGCUUCAGAGCCCAGAACUGCAUAACACAUAACUGCAGAGGAAUUAACACUUCAUGGUCAAAAUGUUGCCAAAUGGGAGAUGGAAACUGGUAGAUAAGUUCAUUCUCUUUGUUUCACUCCAUACAGACUGUGCUGAGAUGCAGCUUUACAGAGGAUGGUUCUAUACGAUAGAGCAAUCAGCACCACUCAGCGGCUACCAGCUCAGUUAUGCCCGCUCCAAUUUCUCUCCCUCCUUCCCUGCUUCACUCCCGUAUCUCUCGCUUCUGCUCCUUGGGAUUGCGCUGCCUAACAGAGCAGCAAUACCAUUGCUGGGCAGCUCUGCGUUCUAAGGAAUCCAGAAGAAGACAAUUAUGAUUAAUUAUAAAUAAGAUCACACUGGGAAAGGGAUUGCUCAAGAUCACAUGGACCCGUUAGUGGCAUGUGAAUAUAGUGCAAACAUUUAUUUAGUGCCUACAAUGGAAGAGUUCCAUAUAAAUUAUUUCAUUUUGUGCUUCAAAUUGGAUAAUUACUAUUAUUGUCCCCAUAUUAUAUAUAAGAAAUUGAGGCUCAGAAAAAUCAAAGUGAAAUGUUUGAGAUCACAACACUAGCAAAUGGAAGAAUGGGUUUACACCAGGCCUCCAAACUCCACAUAUCUAGUUCUUUCCCCAGCUGCCUCCCAGUGGGUGGUCAGAAAGUGGGCCCUGACUGUCUUGGGAGCUGGCUGGAAAGCCAACAUGGACUUUGGAGGAAGAUAUUCAAGUUGCAGCCCUGCCACUUAAUAGCUUUGUGACCUCAAGUUAUUUAAUUUCUCUGAACCUUGAUUUUUUAAUUCCAAAAAUGGGGAUUAUAACAUCUACUCAUAGUGUAGCUGUGAAGAGAAAAUGAGAUAAUAUAUGUAAAUCUCCCACCACAGCGUACAUACAUAGUAAGUGCUUAACCAAUGUUAGCCAGCAUCAGUUAUCUGGAAUCAAAGAUGCCUUCCAAAAACAGUAUUAGCUUGUCUUUCAAAGGUGCUUAUUAAGUUCUAGGCAGGGCACUAAGUAUUUUCUACAGAAGAAGGAAUUUCUUCUAACCGUCCUAAACCUCACUGAGGGAGAAGAGAUGAAGCGGACUGUCAACUACCUCCAUUAAUCUCUUGUCGCCUCUAUCAAACGUUCAUGAGUUUUAGUCAUUUACGUACUGCCUUGUUGAACUUUGCUAUAUCUGUGUAGCGGUCUCAAAAGUUAAAUUUAUAGUUUAGUUUUGUCCUAAGCAAGAAUACCAUGAAGUAUUGGGUUUGAUGUGCUAGUUUUAUUUUUUCUUAUACACACUAAAGUAUACAUAUUCAUCAUUAAAAUUAAAAAGUGUUAUUAUUUAAAAUACUCCAGAAAAAAAAUAAGAUGGAACAAGAUUGGCAAAAUGAUGAUCAUUGUUGAAGCUAGAUGAUGAGCACACGGGCCCACACCAUUCUCUCUCUAAUUUUAUGUAUCUUUGAGAUUCUCAUAAUAAAAGUUUAAAAAAUAAAAUAAAAUAUACUUAG